rnacentral:rRNA from 1 species
GAUGAACGCUGGCGGCGUGCUUAACACAUGCAAGUCGAACGGAAAGGCUCCUGCUUGCAGGGGUACUCGAGUGGCGAACGGGUGAGUAACACGUGGGUGAUCUGCCCUGCACUUCGGGAUAAGCCUGGGAAACUGGGUCUAAUACCGGAUAGGACCACAUUUUGGAUGGUGUGGUGGAAAGUUUUUCGGUGGGGGAUGAGCUCGCGGCCUAUCAGCUUGUUGGUGGGGUAAUGGCCUACCAAGGCGUCGACGGGUAGCCGGCCUGAGAGGGUGUACGGCCACAUUGGGACUGAGAGACGGCCCAGACUCCUACGGGAGGCAGAAGUGGGGAAUAUUGCACAAUGGGCGCAAGCCUGAUGCAGCGACGCCGCGUGGGGGAGGACGGGCUUCGGGUUGUAAACUCCUUUCGCUAGGGACGAAGCGUUUUUGUGACGGUAACUGGAGAAGAAGCACCGGCUAACUACGUG